rnacentral:rRNA from 1 species
CCUACGGGAGGCAGCAGUGGGGAAUUUUGGACAAUGGGCGCAAGCCUGAACCAGCGACGCCGCGUGGGGGAUGAAGGGGCUUUGCCUCGUAAACCCCUGUCGGAUGGGACGAAAGGUGGCUUUGAGCCACUGGGACGGUACCAUCAAAGGAAGGAUCGGCUAACUACGUGCCAGCAGCCGCGGUAAUACGUAGGAUCCGAGCGUUGUCCGGAGUUACUGGGUGUAAAGGGUGCGUAGGCUGUUCUGUGCGUCAGAGGUGAAAUCCACGGGCUUAACUCGUGGGGUGCCUUUGAUACGGCAGGGCUUGAGUACGAGAGAGGUGCGUGGAAUUCCUGGUGUAGCAGUGAAAUGCGUAGAUAUCAGGAGGAACACCGGUGGCGAAGGCGGCGCACUGGCUCGUAACUGACGCUGAGGCACGAAAGCGUGGGGAUCAAACAGGAUUAGAUACCCUGGUAGUCCACGCCUUAAACGAUGCAUGCUUGGUGUUGGUCUCGCAAGAGAUCAGUGCCGUAGUUAACAUGAUAAGCAUGCCACCUGGGGAGUACGAUCGCAAGGUUGAAACUCAAAGGAAUUGACGG